rnacentral:rRNA from 1 species
GUGUCAGCCGCCGCGGUAAGACGUAGGGAGCGAGCGUUAUCCGGAUUCAUUGGGCGUAAAGCGCGCGUAGGCGGCCGCGCAAGUCGGGUGUGAAAACCAGAGGCUCAACCUCUGGCCUGCAUCCGAAACUGCGUAGCUAGAGGUAGGUAGGGGAGAUCGGAAUUCCUGGUGUAGCGGUGAAAUGCGCAGAUAUCAGGAGGAACACCGGUGGCGAAGGCGGAUCUCUGGGCCUUACCUGACGCUGAGGUGCGAAAGCUAGGGGAGCGAACAGGAUUAGAUACCCUGGUAGUCCUAGCCGUAAACGUUGGACACUAGGUGUGGGCGGACAUCAACCCCGUCUGUGCCGUAGCUAACGCAUUAAGUGUCCCGCCUGGGGAGUACGGCCGCAAGGCUAAA